rnacentral:rRNA from 1 species
CUCGACCCGGCCACCCCCACCCGAGGCAGAGACCGCGGCCGCCACUGGCCCAUCCCCACAUACCACACACGUAUCCCCACCUCCUCAGAUCCGAGCGCCAUGGCCGCCCACCCCCACCCGCAUUGCUAUGCCCACCGCUAGCGCCUCCAUGGCCGCCGCCGCCUCCUGCCGGAGCCCGCUCGUCUGGUUCUUCUCCCUCGCCGCCGCGCUCUUCUUCGCUUCCUGGUACCUCCUCCUCGACUCCGCCGCCGCCCCGGCCGCGCUCGAUGCCCGCCGCCAGGGCCUCCGCCCGGCCUCUCCAGGCAGAAAAUGCGAUCCGGAUAAGGCGCUGCUGCGCGUCUACAUGUACGACCUGCCCCUUGAGUUCCACUUCGGCAUGCUCGACUGGGAGCCCGGGAGCGGCGGUGGCGGCCUUUGGCCGGAUGUCAGGCACGGCGUGCCGGAGUACCCCGGAGGGCUCAACCUGCAGCACAGCAUCGAGUACUGGCUCACGCUGGACCUCCUCGCCUCCGAGCAGGGCGCGCCCACGCCGUGCAACGCCGUCCGGGUGCGCGACCCCGCCAGGGCCGACGUCGUCUUCGUGCCCUUCUUCGCCUCCCUCAGCUUCAACCGCCACUCCAAGGUCGUGCCGCCCGCGCGGACCAGCGAGGACCGGGCGCUGCAGCGGAGGCUGAUCGAGUUCCUCGCCGCGCGGCCCGAGUGGCGGAGGUCCGGCGGAAGGGACCACGUCGUGCUCGCGCACCACCCCAACGGGAUGCUCGACGCGCGCUACAAGCUCUGGCCCUGCGUCUUCGUGCUCUGCGACUUCGGGAGGUACCCACACAGCGUGGCCAACAUCGACAAGGACGUCAUCGCCCCGUACCGCCAUGUCGUCGACAACUUCUUCAAUGACUCCACCGGCUACCACGACCGGCCGACCUUACUCUACUUCCAAGGCGCCAUUUACAGGAAAGAUGGUGGUUUCAUCCGACAGGAACUUUACUAUCUUCUCAAAGAUGAGAAAGAUGUGCACUUCUCAUUUGGAAGUGUGGCUGGUAAUGGGAUUGAGGAAUCGACACGGGGUAUGAGGGCAUCCAAAUUCUGCCUCAACAUUGCAGGGGAUACGCCAUCCUCCAACCGUCUAUUCGAUUCCAUAGUCAGUCACUGUGUGCCCGUCAUUAUCAGCGAUGAGAUUGAACUCCCAUUUGAAGAUAUCCUUGACUACUCCAAGUUCUGCAUCAUAGUGCGUGGUGCAGAUGCUGUCAAGAAGGGCUUUCUGAUAAAUCUGAUCAAAGGGGUAAGCCCAGAAGAGUGGACAAGCAUGUGGAACAAACUGAGGGAGGUAGAAGGGCACUUUGAAUACCAGUACCCAUCUCAGCCUGACGAUGCUGUCCAGAUGAUCUGGAAGACCAUAGCUCGAAAGGUGCCCUCAAUUCGGCUGAAGGUCAACAGAUUACAAAGAUUUUCUCGGUCUGAAGCUAACAAAACAAACGAUUCUCCAGCAAGAUCUUCCUGGCUAGAAAAUCAAACUCUCCCAGCUGGUUUUCAGUCCUCUGCGAGAGGAGAGUGCCCAUAGUGAAGCUGAGCUUGAACCUCAAAGCCGGGAGCGACAGCUACAGGAGAUUAAUGGAGUAAAGUACUCCUGAUACAGAUUACCACCACAAUAUUACAGAUCCGAGGGCCCGAUUUUUGUUCUCCUCCAAUUUUCAUCGAAGAUGUGCUCAACCGUGUCGAUUAGGGACAAUAACUUUUUGUAUCAGAAUCUGUAUAUCCUAGGCAGUAGCGUGAUUACUGAUCAUUUCCACUCUAGUCUUAUACUACUUCACAGCUGUAACUCCCCAUUCUCAGAGCAAGAGUUUUUAUGGUUCCUUGCUCGAUUCUAGCCAUGUGAUAUCUGCAGAUGACCGGCAUAUGUCGUCCUUCCCUUCCAUUAUUGGGUCAUGACAAGAAUUGCUGCUGUUCAG